rnacentral:rRNA from 1 species
AGCAGCCGCGGUAAUUCCAGCUCCAAUAGCGUAUAUUAAAGUUGUUGCAGUUAAAAAGCUCGUAGUUGAAUUUCGGGAUCAAAUUGUCGGUCGUGCCUCGGUACGAACUGGUAUUAUUGGUUCCUACCUUCUGAAGAACCGCGAUGUCAUUAAUUUGGUGUCGUGGGGAAUCAGGACUGUUACUUUGAAAAAUUAGAGUGUUUAAAGCAGGCUUACGCUUGAAUACAUUAGCAUGGAAUAAUGAAAUAGGACGUUUGAUUCUAUUUUGUUGGUUUCUAGGAUUGACGUAAUGAUUAAUAGGGAUAGUUGGGGGCAUUAGUAUUCAAUUGUCAGAGGUGAAAUUCUUGGAUUUAUUGAAGACUAACUACUGCGAAAGCAUUUGCCAAGGAUGUUUUCAUUAAUCAAGAACGAAAGUUAGGGGAUCGAAGACGAUCAGAUACCGUCGUAGUC